AGAUUGAACGCUGGCGGCAUGCCUAACACAUGCAAGUCGAACGGGAGUAGCAAUACUCUAGUGGCGGACGGGUGAGGAAUACGUAGGAAUUUGCCCUUAAGUGGGGGAUAACCCGGGGAAACCCGGAUUAAUACCGCAUGACCUCGAAAGAGCAAAGUGGGGGAUCGCAAGACCUCACGCUUUUGGAGAAGCCUACGUCGGAUUAGCUAGUUGGUGAGGUAAUGGCUCACCAAGGCGACGAUCCGUAACUGGUCUGAGAGGAUGAUCAGUCACACCGGAACUGAGACACGGUCCGGACUCCUACGGGAGGCAGCAGGUGGGGAAUAGUUGGACAAGUGGGCGCAAGCCUGGAUCCGAGCAAUGCCGCGUGUGUGAAGAGGUCCUUCGGGUUGUAAAGCGUACUUUAAGGUUAGGGAAAG
rnacentral:rRNA from 1 species